AGUGUUUGUACCUAAGGGAUCAGCGCCUUGUGUGUGCUCUUGCUUCAGGCCCUGCGGAAGUCAGAGCCCGCUGUGACCACAGCUUUCCUUCCCUUGUGGUCCCCAAAGGCCAUGCAGCGCUUGGGUCUGGCCAGUCGUCAGCUCUCGCCACUGCCACAUUGACUGGCUGGCCGGCAGCAUUCAGUCAAUGUCGGUUCAAUGCUCCUUGCAUCGUAAGUCAGUGCUCCGCUCUCUCUCUAAAUCUCAGGUCCCUCAUUCGUAGGAGACGGCUUCAGUAGCAACGGGGGAAAUGUCACAGUGCCUUUCAUCCCAUCCUUUCCUCUUUUAAAUCAGCAAGAUGAAAAAAAUGGGUUCCAGUAAAGUGCUUUGUGACUUUAUUAUUAGUCUAUUUGAAGCCCUCUCUGUUUUCUUCCUCUUCCUCGCCCCCUCUUCCCCUCCUGUGCUCUUCUGCCUCCUCUUUUUCUUCUUCCUGUUCUGUUUCCUCCUCCUCUCCUUCCUCCUUCAUUUUAGCGAGGAAAGACUUCUCUCGGUAACCAUACUAGCAUGUCUUUCACUUUCUCAACGCCCUUGUCUCUCUUCAGCAAUGCCUGUUUUGCUCAAACCUGAAGCGUCAAAAUUUUUUUGAAUCUGACUUUCUGCCAGAAUUCUUUAAGUAGAUCAACUCCUUUUAUUCUCUAACAUUUUAAAACUCAUUUGCACAGAAGAGAAUUGGAAGGUCUUAAAGUACAGUUGUCCCGUGGUUCCUCACAACCUACUAAGAGUGUUGUUCCAGUUGACAGCGUUUUAAAUCCAGUAAUGAGAGAAGUUCGUCCUUUCAUAUAAAUAUCAUAGGGAUGAAUAAAGAGUCUGGAAGUACUAUUAUUGCAAUUUCUACUGGAUAUUUAGGUAAGAAUCUUGUCUCAAUAUGUUGCCCUUUGAUAAUUUUCUAUCUACUUGGCUUGUUCAGCAAGUGGAGAGCAAGUGGGUUUCCCAUAUCAUUCUGGGACAAGCUACCCCUCAUUUGUUGCUGUCAUACUCACCCCACGUUUCCACAAAUUACUCUGUGUUAGGCAAGAUGAUUUCCAAGAUAGGUAGUCUAGACUAUAAUUAAAACUAAUAUUUUUUUCACUCUAUAAAUUUAGCAGUUUAUUUCUUGAAACUAUCCUAUUUCUCUUCAACAUGGCUCUAGGGAAAUAAGCCACAAGUGCCACAUUUUUCUCUGUGGUUUUCUCAGGCAUCGUGGCCAUCCUCAUACGCAGUAUUGUGGUUUACAACAGUUCCAGACCCAGGCUGGGUGAUGGUGGUGGGUAUCAGAAAGUCUUCAUGGCCGUAAACCCAUUUAAGUAAAUUAAUAAAAUUUAUUUGAUAAGAAGUGAAACGUCUUAAAAAUUACCAGGGCCAAACUACCAAAGUCCCAGCCUAUUCUUAUGUCUAAUUUGAUGGAACAAUCUAGAAUCUGAAAAGCACUGGGUGCUUUCUUGACAGCUUACCUCUGCCGUGAGUUGGAAGUAACCUAAGAUGGGUUCCACAAUGAGGACUUUAAAGUGUCUGUAGGGAAAUGUGGAGUUAAGUAGGUGCAGAGUUGCAACAUUCUUCCAGACUGUUUUAUUUAUAUUUUUAAGCACUUACCACAGACAUAUAGUUAGCAAUGUAUAUCUUUGUCCCUCCCAUUAGUUUGCAAAUCCCUAUUGUUCACUGUUGUGUCACAAAGCCAGGGUCCUGAGAAGGUAUUUGGGGAAUGAAAGGUCUGGGACUGCCCCAUGAUGUCCUCUUGCUCCCAGUUCUGCCCGUACGAUUGCUCAGUACUCUUAGGCUGUAACCCAUUUUUCUUUGGACAAUGAUCACAUUUUGUUGUCUUAGGAGGUGUGGCAAAGAUUCUCUCACGUGCUUAUUUAACAGACCCUAAAGGCCUGGAGACUCCCAGCUGUAUGAGGAAACUGAGGUGCUGAAAGGCUAAAUAGCUUAUUUGAGGUCUCCCAGCUACAGAGAGGUGGAGAGAGAAUAAGACAGCCCGUCUGCCUCCUCUUAGUCUUUUCACUCUCCAGGGUUGGCAUGGCUCUCUGCUCAUAAAAAGAUGUUUCAUUUACUGAAACGUGACUCCAGAAGUCUUAUGAAUGCAGCCAGCACAUAGUGGCCUGGGAUCCUUGACUGUGAUUUUUGUAACUGUGUCCUGGUUCCUGUCUGUAGAAUUUAACCCAUGCGGUUUGAACAAGGUGAUCCACCUCCCAGCUCUGGUCGACGCAGGCUGAAAAAAGGAAACUUAAAGAGUGUCUGCUAUGGUAAUUCACUGCUGCGAUCCCUCAGGGUUCUGGAAUUGUCUGCUUCCUGAAGAGUUUGCUGCUCACGGACUCCAACGUCCAGAUGCCUGAGGGGACUUUCUCGAGGCUACAGAUGUACUCUCAGCGCCUGCCCUGGAAAAGGCACAACUGCACGUGAACACAGCAUUCGUGUUAGCUGUCCAAGUGCAGUCUGGAUGUUGAGGGCCCCUCUUGCAGAGAGAGGUCCCUAAGACUGGCAUUUCCCAGUAGCAACAGACUUUUAGGUAACUUAUGACAAGACAGCGAAAAUUACAGCCAC
rnacentral:lncRNA from 1 species